ACAGUAUAUAGUGUUUUAUAUAGCCUCUACGCUUUUUUUUCCAUAGACCUCUGCCCGAGGCAAACACCUUCCAGAGUAUGUAUCAGCCCAAACAGUUAAAAACUGGCAGAAGUAUAAAAAACUCAAACCACAUCUGAAAAUGGGAAAACGGGAGACAGUUUGACAGCUUUGCUGGACACUCUCCUGCUGAGUACGUCCUGGAGGGACAGCUCCUGAAGGUUUAUCUCUGUUUAUUCCAUCACCCUUCAUGGUAGAGGUACUGGACACCACAGGAAAACUUGGUCAACCUAAGUAGUUGACCAGAGAUCCUACAUCAGCUGAAGGUCCAGGCAGAGAGUCUUGAGACUACCAGGAGUUUCAUGUAGAUCUUUUCCGGUGGGGCUUUCAGGUUUCCAUGGGCCAGGCAGGAGCCCUGCAACCUGGCGGACCACCAAGCCUCACAGAAGUCAGCUUGGGGGUAUCCUCCCUCUGUGCAUCUGGAGCUUUUGCUGCUGCAAACCACUUGGCCAUCCAGUCAUAAGUGAUAUAUCUGGUACACGUCUUCUGUGUAAAGGGAAGCAGCCAGGCUGGAUCAAAGAAAAUGACAUUACCAAUAAGUUUCAAAUAAAAGUUGUAGUGGAAAAAAGAAGAAGAAUGUGCCGUUUCUGUACAACGUUUCUGUUACUGUACAACUGAUAGCAAAUACACUGUGCGAGAGCAUUGCUAAGAUAACGAGAGCAAGGUGACACGUGUGUGAGUCCAUGGAGGGAAGGACAGUCGAGG
rnacentral:lncRNA from 1 species